CCCAUUGUAGCUCAGUUGGUUAGAGCACCCGUUUAGUAAGCGGGAGGUUUGAGUUCAACUCUCAACAAGAGCA
rnacentral:tRNA from 1 species